rnacentral:rRNA from 1 species
UGGGGAAUUUUGGACAAUGGGCGCAAGCCUGAUCCAGCCAUGCCGCGUGAGUGACGAAGGCCUUAGGGUUGUAAAGCUCUUUUGGCGGGGACGAUAAUGACGGUACCCGCAGAAUAAGCCCCGGCUAACUUCGUGCCAGCAGCCGCGGUAAUACGAAGGGGGCUAGCGUUGUUCGGAAUUACUGGGCGUAAAGCGCACGUAGGCGGAUUUGUCAGUCAGGGGUGAAAUCCCGAGGCUCAACCUCGGAACUGCCUCCGAUACAGCAAGUCUCGAGUCCGGAAGAGGUGAGUGGAAUUCCUAGUGUAGAGGUGAAAUUCGUAGAUAUUAGGAAGAACACCAGUGGCGAAGGCGGCUCACUGGUCCGGUACUGACGCUGAGGUGCGAAAGCGUGGGGAGCAAACAGGAUUAGAUACCCUCGUAGUCCCUGAGCGGGCUGGCAAGGCGCAU